rnacentral:lncRNA from 1 species
CUGCAGCCAUCACUGAUGCUGCGGAUGCUUGAUGGGGAUAAAUGGAGAAAGCCUAAGAGGCUGCAGGCUCUGAGACUGGCUGUGGCCCCAGAUUCUGGCUCAGCAGACAGAGCGCUUAGGCUGCCCUCACUUGACCUGACUGGAGCGACCAUCUUCCACCCUAUGGAGGCUGCCGGCCACUGAGGGCCCCGGGGCGCAGGCAGAGCUGCUGUGAGCUGGGGUGAGAAGGAGAAACUGGCUGUGAGGGGCUGCUGUGCUGUCCUGUCUACCUGCCAUCCUGAGUGUUUGGGAAGCAGCUGGCAAAUGGCUCUGUCUUCAGGCCUCCAACUUGUGGAAGCUGGGGAAGUUGAAGCGUGGAGAGAUUAAGUGUCCAGCCUAAGGCUACAGAGCAAGUGGGCAAAUUGAAAUUUGACCCCAGAACUCUGACUCCAAAGCCUGUGCUCACUCCAUUCUACCGAGCAGCCUCCAAGGAGCACCAGAGGAAGUCGUCGCCGCACCUGGCAGCCUUUCCAUCCUGGGGAAGAAGGGCCACGUCCCGGGCCAUGUCAGGCAGGAGGCCCACAGGAGCCAGCCCUUGCGUGGACCACUGGAUGGAGCCACCACCACAGAAGGGAGAUCUCGUUAUACCAUUCAUUGUCAGAUCAUCUCCCAGGAGCCUCAUUCCUGGGCCCGGGAGGCAGCAUGCUGGUC